GGAUGUGAGGGCUAUCUGGCUGCCACAUCUAUCACCUCACUAAUCACCAAGGUUGAUUCUGCUGAUCUGGCUGGCCAGGCUGGUGUCCCCUUCUUCCCUCAUCGCUCCAUGUGCAUUCCUCUCAAAGUUACAUGAUUGGUCAGAGACUAGUCUAACCUUCCCAGAUAGAGGAAGGUUUUCUGGUCAAAAGUAUACGGGUAGCUGUGCUCCCCUGCUGGAACCUCCAAACAAGCUCUCAAAACUCAAUGAGGUAACAAUCAUGAAGUGCUUAAGAGAGCACCUGGCCCUUAAAAGUUG
rnacentral:snRNA from 1 species